CCCACAUUUAGAUUAUUUUAUUCAUUUCAAGGUGGCUCGUAGAUUGAUAAAUUACACAAUAUCAUACAGAAGCUGGAUACCAGUACUGAACAAGAACGCUGCAAAAAGAAUCCAUUUCUCUGACUGGUGGAUGUUUGCAGCAUGUUGCAGAGCGGCUGGCCUGAGCUGUGAAGGGGGAACGCAACUCUAUACUUGGAAUGCCGACGUCACCCCGACAACGAGGGCGGAGCAAUCCAGGAUGCAGAGGCGUGGCGUGUCGCAGGAGAGAGCCAGAGUCUAACUACAGCAGAGACGACACAAAGCUGAGUGACAUCUUUCACCAGCUGAAACAGCUCACUGAAAGUCAGAAGAAAACCGUCAAUGGCGCUGCUGAACACUGACGCCGACCUAAAACCACCAUGUGCCUUGCCCAAGGGCACUUCGACAGAUGGGAUGGCAGACCGGGAACUGAACCUGAGGCUCUCCAAUCAACCUACAAAACGUUUUCAGAAGAAAUGAUCCGAAGCGACCUUUAAAUUUGGUUUACUGCUCAAGUUAACCAGGAAGUCGACAGAAAAACCGCUGAGUGUGACUUUGUUUCAAGUGACAGAUAUCGUUAUUGUAUUUUAAAAUCUUUGUGUUUUGCUGAUUCUGAUCUCCUGUUUUACAUUAAGCUAUAAAUGUUGGUGAUUAAAUGCUUAUUUGCAUGAAUAAUAAAAUUCAUUAAUUUUA